AAGUUGCAAAGCGUGCAACAAAACACGCUGUUAACGUAUUGUACACCUAUUGAGCCCACAUUUUAUGUUAAGAAAGACAUAAUUGACAAAAUAUUAUACGAUGUUGUAUGUUUGGUAACCGACACAGUCGGAAAAGACAAAAAAUCACGCCACGACAGGUCCAAAAUAAAACGCAAAACAUUGGACUUGUGGAAGACCCAAUUCCCGUGGCUUAUCGUGGACAAUAUUGAAGGGUACAUCUGUCUGAAUUGUCAAACAUGUAAAAAUGUAUCGAAGACGUGCAAUCUUAACACAGUUUGGGCAUAUGAAGGCUCUGCUGAUGUCCAGAUUUCAACUGUAAGAAAGCACGGUAGUUGUAAUGAUCACAUGACUGCUUGCGCUUACUUAGACAAACACAGACUGCCAGUGGGUCACAAAACAUGAUUAGCAGCAGUGACGAAGACGAUGGGAAAAGUUCUGUGUCACCACUUGUCCCGAAAGAAGACAUAGUUUUGUUUAAUACUGUUUAUUCUGUAGCAAAAGAGGAGAUGCCAUCAGAAAAAGUUAACAGUUUGUUACAAUUGCAAAGAAUUAAUGGUGUAGAUGUGCAGUAUAAAAACUAAAGUUGGGACACUAUAAAUGCUAUUCAAGAGUCUAUAAGUUUUGUUAUUACCAAGGACUUAGUGUCAGAAAUAAACAGUAGUCCAAAUUUUUGACGCUCUUAAAUAUUAAGCUACUUUUUAUAUGGGUAAUAUUUGGAGCGUACAAAGGGUGAAAGACCAAUUAUGUGGUGGGAAUUUUUUGUUCUUUGUCUAUAUUGUUGCGCAAGGAUUUUGUGCGCAACAUUCAAGCCCCGAUAUAAGACACUUAAUAACAACGGAUUGCAAUAAUAUUUACAUACCUGUGUAGAUAAUUCAUUUCUCGAUAAUGUUCCGUAAAAAUUAUGUAAUGACACUUUGAAUUUUGCACGCCUUUGCAAUUUAAA